rnacentral:tRNA from 1 species
GCAGAUAUAGUUUAAUGGUAGAAUAUAAGCUUCCCAAGCUUAGGGUGUGGGUUCGAUCCCCAUUAUCUGCUCCA